AUUGAACGCUGGCGGCAGGCCUAACACAUGCAAGUCGAACGAGUGGCGGACGGGUGAGUAAUUUCUUGGAAACUGCCUGACGGAGGGGGCUAAAUACUGGAAACGGUAGCUAAUACCGCAUACCAUCAGAUGUGCCCUGAUGGGAUUAGCUUGUUGGUGGGGGAACGGCUCACCAAGGCGACGAUCCCUACACGGUCUGAGAGGAUGACCAGCCACACUGGGACUGAGACACGGUCCAGACUCCUACGGGAGGCAGCAGUGGGGAAUAUUGCACAAUGGGCGCAAGCCUGAUGCAGCCAUGCCGCGUGUAUGAAGAAGGCCUUCGGGUUGUAAAGUACUUUCAGCGGGGAGGCGUUACCCGCAGAAGAAGCACCGGCUAACUCCGUGCCAGCCGCCGCGGUAAUAC
rnacentral:rRNA from 1 species